AGCUCUUUGGAUAUACUGGGUUUACUUUGAGCCACUUCCACCUGUUCGCUGGAUUCACCAACUUGACCAGAGGAAACGGGUAGAACUUUUGAUGCCGUGAUCAAACAAUCUUCAGGAAGAUGACCUGGCCUCUUACAUUUCCAACACUCAUAAGUACAAAGAGCAGAUCUAUUCUUGGACCAUCGAUGACGGUCAUGAUCCCAGAUGUUGCCUCCAGAUUCAGGAACUUCCAAUUUGCAUUUUUGUCCAGAAAAACUCUCAGCUUUGACCUUGCUACUUAAGCCCCCCUGCUGGAGUUUAAGAUUUUGCAGAAGGUCAGAUUUGCAAUCCGUACUGCAGAUGUCUUCUUCAGUCUCAUCACAUAUAUAUUCCCCAUACUUCCCACAUACCACACAAGCAGGUUCUCCUGGAAGAG
rnacentral:misc_RNA from 1 species